AAAGAUUAAGCCAUGCAUGUCUAAGUAUAAGCAAUUAUACUGCGAAACUGCGAAUGGCUCAUUAUAUAAGUUAUCGUUUAUUUGAUAGCACGUUCUUACUUGGAUAACCGUGGUAAUUCUAGAGCUAAUACAUGCUGAAAAUCCCGACUUCGGAAGGGAUGUAUUUAUUAGAUUAAAAACCAAUGCCCUCUGGGCUUGCUGGUGAUUCAUGAUAACUGCGCGAAUCGCACGGCCUUGCGCCGGCGAUGGUUCAUUCAAAUCUCUUCCCUAUCAACUUUCGAUGCGAUGAUCUGGUCAUCGCAUGGUUACAACGGGUAACGGAGGGUUAGGGCUUGACCCCGGAGAAGGAGCCUGAGAGACGGCUACUACAUCCAAGGAAGGCAGCAGGCGCGCAAAUUACCCAAUCCCGACACGGGGAGGUAGUGACAAUAAAUACUGAUACAGGGCUCUUUUGGGUCUUGUAAUUGGAAUGAGUACAAUUUAAAUCCCUUAACGAGGAACAAUUGGAGGGCAAGUCUGGUGCCAGCAGCCGCGGUAAUUCCAGCUCCAAUAGCGUAUAUUAAAGUUGUUGUGGUUAAAAAGCUCGUAGUUGAACCUUGGGCCUGGCUGGCCGGUCCCCCUCACCGGGUGCACUGAUCCAGCCGGGCCUUUCCCUCUACGGAACCCCAUGGCCUUCACUGGCCGUGGCGGGGAAGUAGGACUUUUACUUUGAAAAAAUUAGAGUGCUCCAGGCAGGCCUAUGCUCGAAUACAUUAGCAUGGAAUAAUAGAAUAGGACGCGUGGUUCUAUUUUGUUGGUUUCUAGGACCGCCGUAAUGCUUAAUAGGGACAGUCGGGGGCAUCAGUAUUCAAUUGUCAGAGGUGAAAUUCUUGGAUCUAUUGAAGACUAACUACUGCGAAAGCAUUUGCCAAGGAUGUUUUCAUUGAUCAGGAACGAAAGUUAGGGGAUCGAAAACGAUCAGAUACCGUUGUAGUCUUAACUAUAAACUAUGCCGACUAGGGAUCGGACGAUGUUAUUACUUGACUCGUUCGGCACCUUUCGAGAAAUCAAAGUGCUUGGGCUCCAGGGGGAGUAUGGUCGCAAGGCUGAAA
rnacentral:rRNA from 1 species